UCACUUACCUGGGUGGGGUCAUUAGAUGAUCAUGAAUGUCUAAGGCCUAGGGUAUUGACCUCCAUUGCACAUAGGAGGGGCACUACUCUAAGGUCUGCCCUAAGGGGCAGAACCUACAUCAUAAUUUGUGGUUGUAGGGGCUUGCGUUCGCGCAGCCCUUUC
rnacentral:snRNA from 1 species